rnacentral:rRNA from 1 species
CCUACGGGAGGCAGCAGUGGGGAAUAUUGCACAAUGGGGGAAACCCUGAUGCAGCGACGCCGCGUGAGUGAAGAAGUAUUUCGGUAUGUAAAGCUCUAUCAGCAGGGAAGAAAAUGACGGUACCUGAUUAAGAAGCCCCGGCUAACUACGUGCCAGCAGCCGCGGUUAUACGGAGGGGGCAAGCGUUAUCCGGAUUUACUGGGUGUAAAGGGAGCGUAGACGGCAGGACAAGUCUGGAGUGAAAUGCCGGGGCUUAACCCCGGAACUGCUUUGGAAACUGUGCAGCUAGAGUGCAGGAGAGGUAAGUGGAAUUCCUGGUGUAGCGGUGAAAUGCGUAGAUAUUAGGAGGAACACCAGUGGCGAAGGCGGCUUACUGGACUGUAACUGACGUUGAGGCUCGAAAGCGUGGGGAGCAAACAGGAUUAGAUACCCCAGUAGUC